CCUGAUGGCGAGUGGCGAACGAGGUGAGUAAUGCAUCGGAACGUGCCCAAUCGUGGGGGAUAACGCAGCGAAAGCUGUGCUAAUACCGCAUACGAUCUAUGGAUGAAAGCGGGGGACCUUCGGGCCUCGCGCGAUUGGAGCGGCCGAUGUUAGAUUAGGUAGUUGGUGGGGUAAAGGCUCACCAAGCCGACGAUCUAUAGCUGGUCUGAGAGGACGACCAGCCACACUGGAACUGAGACACGGUCCAGACUCCUACGGGAGGCAGCAGUGGGGAAUUUUGGACAAUGGGCGCAAGCCUGAUCCAGCAAUACCGCGUGCAGGAAGAAGGCCUUCGGGUUGUAAACUGCUUUUGUACGGAACGAAAAGGCUCUUUCUAAUAAAGAGGGCUCAUGACGGUACCGUAAGAAUAAGCACCGGCUAACUACGUGCCAGCAGCCGCGGUAAUACGUAAGGUGCGAGCGUUAAUCGGAAUUACUGGGCGUAAAGCGUGCGCAGGCGGUUUUGUAAGACAGACGUGAAAUCCCCGGGCUCAACCUGGGAAUUGCGUUUGUGACUGCAAGGCUAGAGUACGGUAGAGGGGGGUAGAAUUCCGCGUGUAGCAGUGAAAUGCGUAGAUAUGCGGAGGAACACCGAUGGCGAAGGCAGCCCCCUGGACCUGUACUGACGCUCAUGCACGAAAGCGUGGGGAGCAAACAGGAUUAGAUACCCUGGUAG
rnacentral:rRNA from 1 species